rnacentral:lncRNA from 1 species
GCGUGCGUGAGCCGAACUACGGUAGCUCUGAUUCUCAUUCCAGAUGAGAUACGUAGGCAUAGGAUGCGAUAUCCUAGCGAGCCCUUUCCCCUCCUCUCCCACCUGUGUUGUGUGUAUGUGAUGUUUGUUUGUGAGCAGUUUUAGCAACCUUAUUCUAUCUUUCUGAGCGUGGAUCCCGUCGAGUACGACGGAUGCGUAGGGG